GCUGGCGGCACGCCUAACACAUGCAAGUCGAACGAAGUAGCAAUACUUAGUGGCAGACGGGUGAGUAACAUGUAGGUAUCUACCCUUUGGCCUGGAAUAACACGAGGAAACUUGUGCUAAUACCGGAUAAGUCUUUACGGAGAAAGCUUUAUGCACCAUUGGAUGAGCCUGCACUUGAUUAGUUUGUUGGUAGGGUAAUGGCCUACCAAGACUGUGAUCAAUAGCUGAUUUGAGAGGAUGAUCAGCCACAUUGGGACUGAGACACGGCCCAAACUCCUACGGGAGGCAGCAGUGGGGAAUCUUGCACAAUGGAGGAAACUCUGAUGCAGCGAUGCCGCGUGAGUGAAGAAGGCCUUUGGGUUGUAAAGCUCUUUCGUCGGGGAAGAAAAUGACUGUACCCGAAUAAGAAGGUCCGGCUAACUUCGUGCCAGCAGCCGCGGUAAUACGAAGGGACCUAGCGUAGUUCGGAAUUACUGGGCUUAAAGAGUUCGUAGGUGGUUGAAAAAGUUGGUGGUGAAAUCCCAGAGCUUAACUCUGGAACUGCCAUCAAAACUUUUCAGCUAGAGUAUGAUAGAGGAAAGCAGAAUUUCUAGUGUAGAGGUGAAAUUCGUAGAUAUUAGAAAGAAUACCAAUUGCGAAGGCAGCUUUCUGGAUCAUAACUGACACUGAGGAACGAAAGCAUGGGUAGCGAAGAGGAUUAGAUACCCUCGUAGUCCAUGCCGUAAACGAUGUGUGUUAGACGUUGGAAAUUUAUUUUCAGUGUCGCAGCGAAAGCGAUAAACACACCGCCUGGGGAGUACGACCG
rnacentral:rRNA from 1 species